rnacentral:rRNA from 1 species
GAACGCUGAGCGGCGCGCUCUAACACACGCAAGUCGAACGGCACCUCUCUCCGGUGGGAAGCGAGCGGCGAACGGCUGAGUAACACGUCGGAGAAACCUGCCUUCUCCUCCGGGAUAGCCGCCCGAAAGAGACGGGUAAUACGGAUACCCCGGGGUGCCGCAUGGCACCCCGGCUAAAGCCCCGACGGGAGGGGAUGGCUCCGCGGCCCAUCAGGUAGACGGCGGGGUGACGGCCCACCGUGCCGACAACGGGUAGCCGGGUUGAGAGACCGACCGGCCAGAUUGGGACUGAGACACGGCCCAGACUCCUACGGGAGGCAGCAGUGGGGAAUCUUGCGCAAUGGGGGGAACCCUGACGCAGCGACGCCGCGUGCGGGACGGAGGCCUUCGGGUCGUAAACCGCUUUCAGCAGGGAAGAGUCAAGACUGUACCUGCAGAAGAAGCCCCGGCUAACUACGUGCCAGCAGCCGCGGUAAUACGUAGGGGGCGAGCGUUAUCCGGAUUCAUUGGGCGUAAAGCGCGCGUAGGCGGCCCGGCAGGCCGGGGUUCGAAAGCGGGGGGCUCAACCCCCCGAAGCCCCCGGAACCUCCGCGGCUUGGGUCCGGUAGGGGAGGGUGGAACACCCGGUGUAGCGGUGGAAUGCGCAGAUAUCGGGUGGAACACCGGUGGCGAAGGCGGCCCUCUGGGCCGAGACCGACGCUGAGGCGCGAAAGCUGGGGGAGCGAACAGGAUUAGAUACCCUGGUAGUCCCAGCCGUAAACGAUGGACGCUAGGUGUGGGGGGACGAUCCCCCCCGUGCCGCAGCCAACGCAUUAAGCGUCCCGCCUGGGGAGUACGGCCGCAAGGCUAAAACUCAAAGGAAUUGACGGGGGCCCGCACAAGCAGCGGAGCAUGUGGCUUAAUUCGAAGCAACGCGAAGAACCUUACCAGGGCUUGACAUAUGGGUGAAGCGGGGGAGACCCCGUGGCCGAGAGGAGCCCAUACAGGUGGUGCAUGGCUGUCGUCAGCUCGUGUCGUGAGAUGUUGGGUUAAGUCCCGCAACGAGCGCAACCCCCGCCGCGUGUUGCCAUCGGGUGAUGCCGGGAACCCACGCGGGACCGCCGCCGUCAAGGCGGAGGAGGGCGGGGACGACGUCAAGUCAUCAUGCCCCUUAUGCCCUGGGCUGCACACGUGCUACAAUGGCCGGUACAGAGGGAUGCCACCCCGCGAGGGGGAGCGGAUCCCGGAAAGCCGGCCCCAGUUCGGAUUGGGGGCUGCAACCCGCCCCCAUGAAGUCGGAGUUGCUAGUAAUCGCGAAUCAGCAUGCCGCGGUGAAUGCGUUCCCGGCCCU